CAGUAGCCGCGGGAAUACGAAGGGGGCUAGCGUUGCUCGGAAUGACUGGGCGUAAAGGGCGCGUAGGCGGCGAUCAAAGUCAGGCGUGAAAUUCCUGGGCUCAACCUGGGGGCUGCGCUUGAUACUUGGUUGCUUGAGUGGGGAAGAGGGUCGUGGAAUUCCCAGUGUAGAGGUGAAAUUCGUAGAUAUUCGGAAGAACACCAGUGGCGAAGGCGGCGACCUGGUCCUUGACUGACGCUGAGGCGCGAAAGCGUGGGGAGCAAACAGGAUUAGAUACCCCUGUAGUCCCUGUCUCUUAUAC
rnacentral:rRNA from 1 species